UACGGAGGGUGCAAGCAUUAAUCGGAUUUAUUGGGCGUAAAGGGCGCGUAGGCGGGAAGGUAAGUCAGAUGUGAAAUCCCGGGGCUCAACCCCGGAACAGCAUUUGAAACUGCCUUUCUUGAGGGUAGAUGGAGAGAAUGGAAUUCCACAAGUAGCGGUGAAAUGCGUAGAUAUGUGGAAGAACACCAGUGGCGAAGGCGAUUCUCUAAUUUAUUCCUGACGCUAAAGCGCGAAAGCUAGGGGAGCAAACAGG
rnacentral:rRNA from 1 species